CGGUGAAGAGGCUCCGCGAAACUCUGCUGGGGCUGAAGUCCUUCCCUCUGGAGUCACCGUGCAGCCUGCGCGUGUCUGGCGCCUGCAGCCUUGUGCCUCGCAGGGGAUUCUGCCGUCUGUGCUUUCUCGGAGAUGAGGCCCCUCACUGUCACCCAGUGUCGUCCGUGAUGGGCACAGCAUCAGAUCCGGAGCGGGUGCAGGAUGCCGUGGAUCAGGGGCACGUGGCGGUUAGUGGGGGCACUCUGGACAAGUGACCUUCAGGACAAUAUGUUGGUGGAUCCUGGUUAAACAGAGGCAGCCCCCUUCAUGUGGCCAACAUCUGGGGCCUCACGGUGCUGGGGCUGCAGUGGUUCCUACCAGGACCCCGCCCACACGACGUCAGUGCACAGCUCUCCAGAAGGCUUCAGGGCCCUGGGGUCCACAGAACACCCUUCAGGAGAGGCUGGAGUCCGAGGUGGCGACAGGCAGUGGGGUCCAGCUCUGUUCCAGGACCCAGGAAAUGCUCUGUAGGCUCAGGAGUCCUGGAGGCCAGAGGCCCAAGACUCCUGUGGGGUCCACGGUCCCGCCCACCGUCCUGGCGAAGGUGACGGCCCGUACUGCCCGCUCAGACACCCUCCUCGUGUCCUCCUUUCUCCCCCUUGGAAGCCGCCCCAAGGGAGAUGACAUUCAGGACGGAGGAGAAAGAAUUCGUGAAGGCCAGCGGCAGCCCUUCGGGUGGGAGCGCAGAAUAACACACAUCGACCCUCGACGGCUCAGAGUAAACCGCUGGGAGUCCUGACGUCGGGGAGGCUGCACAGAUGGUAGGGUCAGGGACCUCGAGUGGCUGGAGGCGCACGGGAGAGAGGCCUUCCCAGGACAGGGAAGGAAGGGAAGGCUGGGGUCCAGCGGGGGGGGCAUCCGCCCCUGCACUGUGCCCCCCGAGCUUGGCGGGGGUGUCUCUGCAGGGUCUCAGCCCCCAAGCUUACAAAUCCUCCGCCCGAGCUCAGAGGGGCCCCUGCCUGCCGCUCCCCUCAGAGGACGGCGCCCCUGAAGUCAGGAGUCCUCCGACCAGGUGCUUGCGGGAGGCUGCUCCUCCAAGCAGAGGAAAGCGAAGGACACCGCCAUUGAAAUGGUUGCCUGACGUCCGGUGUGACCCGAUGGAUUAAUCCGCAGCAUCCCAGAAGCUCACACCGGCCCAGAAGGACACCUUCCGCACCGGCCUCUGCCCUGCCUUCUCAGAGCCUCAUUCGUCUUUCAACACCUCACCCCAGACCCUGGGGCCCAUCCCCCAGCCCGCAGCCUGUGCGUGUUUCCAUAGCAACCUGCCCCUGCUGCUGUGGUGACAUCCCAGCGAUGUGAGCUCUUUGAAGGCCGCCCGACCUGGAUCGCUCCGCAGAGUGGGGAGGAGGGGUGCCCGAUGACACUGAGCACAGCCUCCCUUGGGGGCAGGCGGUGAGUGCAGGCUGUGCCUGCUAUCAGCUGCUGUGCCUCGAGCCCUUGACCUCGUUCGAGGACGUCUCGAAGAUGGGGAAACUGAGGCCCAGAGAGAGGGAACCUCCCUUUUCAGUUACAGUAAGAGAAGAGGUCAUGCUGACUGGUGACAACCAGCCCCCCGUCUGGGACACCCCAGAGGAGAAGAGUCGCCACUGAGAAGCGUCCCCUCUGGGUGUGUCCCUGGGGGAUGAAGGCCAGCUGCCCUCCCUCCGGUGGAGCACCAGAGGGCGCUUCCCUCCCCCUUCUCACCCAGAGCCCCCUGGUCUCAAGGCCAGAGCAGGCGAGUUAUCUGCUCCCUCCUGCUGCGCUGAGCCUGGGGGAGGCUGACUGCACAUGGGGAGGGGGACGGCUUCUCACCUCAGCCCAGCGGUCCCAGUGCUGGCGACGUUUCUGGAGCAGCUGAGUUUCUGUCUGGCUGGUGAUCCUCUCUUACAGCAAAGCCGUCGGUACCCCAGCGCGCGCCUGGGGAAUAUCUAGGGCAUCGCAGAGAGGCUGAGCGCGGAGGAGCAAAUGUCAGCAAAGGGUCAGGCGGGGGCCUGGGAGUCACAGCUCCGGGGUCCUGGAUGGAACGCCUCCCAAGCAGAGGAGAGGCUGCUGACUUGGCUCAGACUGCACGCCACUGAAGCAGAAGUCAGUUUCAAGUUGAGGAGGAAGAUGGAUUUUCCCAGAGGCUCUUGGCCUCCUCCCUGGAAAGAGGCAGCUGCGGAUGCGGGUAACUCCUGAGGAGCCCCGAGGUUCCACCCCCUGGCUGCUGGCGGGAGAUGCUGACCGGGCCAUCCCAAGACCCGCCAGCUCCAAGCCCCACGGAGCCAGGAGAGCUGGCGGCCCCACAGCACCAGGUGCCAGGAAUCACUGGGGUGACUCCAGGCCUGGAGCCCAGGGGCAGUUUGGUGCUGUGGUCACCACAGGACAGUGGACGCACUGAUGGGUUGCGGAUCCUGACUCCUCCAUUUGACCUGUAAAAUGGGGUUCCAGCACCCCCAGUUCUUCACGGCUGCCCAGGUCCGUGCCCUUGUCCUGGGGAGCUUAUGUUGGACAGAGUCGGUGUGCCUUUGGAAGGAAAGAUGAAUAAACCAGAGACUAGGGACCCUCCUGGUCUUAUCAGGACAGUAGGGCUGCCCUCCUGAGACUAGGGCUCCCGCCGGGCCUGAGCUCAGGCCCACCUUCCGGCCCCAAGCGGCAUCACAGCAAGGGGGGUGGGUGGGACCAGGAAACCCCCUUCUGCCCACUCUGCUCCCAGGAAAGGCAAUCCCCACCCUGAGGGGCUCCAGGAGCCCAGAGACCCUGUGUCCUGAGCCCCAGCUCCACCCUGUGUGGGCAGGCGCACUUGUUCACUGUGGCUGGACCCCUGUCCCUGUCACUGCAUGGAGGUGUCACCCAGGCCUGGCCCCUCCCAAAGGGACAGUCCACUCUGCCCUUGACCCAGCCCCCUCCCUUCAAGUGAGGGUCCUGUGGCCAAAGGCACCCCUUCUCCCCGGCCCCAGCUGCCCAGGAUGGCCAGGCGCCCUCCCUCCCAGCCCCAGCGAGGGGUGGGUGACAGGAAGGACUUACAGCUGAUGCCCUUCUUGCCGUGACACACCUCCGGUUUCCACAUCACUGGCCCGUCAGUACCGGCAGGACUAUCUGACAAACAGAGGCCUCUCUCCACCGAAUUUUUUAAAAGGCAUAUAAAAUAUUUACCUGAUCAUUUUUGCUACCUGAAGAAAAUAAUUUGCUUUCCGUCCUCAGGAGCCACGACCCCCUCAGCUCUGGGAAGUGAUGGCCAGCCCCCCGCAAUUCCCUGAUGGCACACAGGGUGGGGUCUGACCACAGACCAUGGGAACUUUAUUUUCCAAGAUGUCAGCCUGGCUGGGGCCCCUGCCUGGGUGCCCACCCACGUGGGUGGGUUUUCACUGCCUGGUCUGCCUCAUGCUUUUUACUGUGUUUUACUUCCUUAUUGGUGAAAUGAUUAAAGAUUUGUUUGAUGUUUUUAAAGUAAAAC
rnacentral:lncRNA from 1 species